rnacentral:misc_RNA from 1 species
UACGUAGGGUGCGAGCGUUGUCCGGAAUUAUUGGGCGUAAAGGGCUCGUAGGCGGCCUGUCGCGUCUGUCGUGAAAGCUCGGGGCUUAACUCCGGGUCUGCGGUGGAUACGGGCAGGCUAGAGUCCGGCAGGGGAGACUGGAAUUCCUGGUGUAGCGGUGAAAUGCGCAGAUAUCAGGAGGAACACCGGUGGCGAAGGCGUGUCUCUGGGCCGGCACUGACGCUGAGGAGCGAAAGCGUGGGGAGCAAACAGG